rnacentral:rRNA from 1 species
AAUCAACGCUGGCGGCGUGCCUAACACAUGCAAGUCGAGCGAGAAAGUAGACUUCGGUCUGCGAGUAAAGCGGCGCACGGGUGAGUAACACGUGGGUAAUCUGCCUCGGAGUGGGGAAUAACACCGGGAAACCGGUGCUAAUACCGCAUACGGCCACAGGGUCCUCGGACCUUGUGGGGAAAGGAUUUAUUCGCUCUGAGAGGAGCCCGCGCCCGAUUAGCUAGAUGGUGAGGUAAUGGCUCACCAUGGCAACGAUCGGUAGCCGGUCUGAGAGGACGGUCGGCCACACUGGAACUGAGACACGGUCCAGACUCCUACGGGAGGCAGCAGUGGGGAAUUUUUGACAAUGGGGGAAACCCUGAUCAAGCAACGCCGCGUGGAUGAUGAAGUAUCUCGGUACGUAAAAUCCUUUCGACAGGGAAGAAACCCAAUCUUCGGAUUGGUCUGACGGUACCUGUAGAAGAAGCCCUGGCUAACUCCGUG